rnacentral:rRNA from 1 species
AGUGAACGCUGGCGGUAGGCCUAACACACGCAAGUCGAACGGCAGCACAGUAAGAGCUUGCUCUUACGGGUGGCGAGUGGCGGACGGGUGAGGAAUACAUCGGAAUCUACUUUUUCGUGGGGGAUAACGUAGGGAAACUUACGCUAAUACCGCAUACGACCUACGGGUGAAAGCAGGGGAUCUUCGGACCUUGCGCGAUUGAAUGAGCCGAUGUUGGAUUAGCUAGUUGGCGGGGUAAAGGCCCACCAAGGCGACGAUCCGUAGCUGGUCUGAGAGGAUGAUCAGCCACACUGGAACUGAGACACGGUCCAGACUCCUACGGGAGGCAGCAGUGGGGAAUAUUGGACAAUGGGCGCAAGCCUGAUCCAGCCAUACCGCGUGGGUGAAGAAGGCCUUCGGGUUGUAAAGCCCUUUUGUUGGGAAAGAAAAGCAGCAGGUUAAUACCCCGCUGUUCUGACGGUACCCAAAGAAUAAGCACCGGCUAACUUCGUG